rnacentral:rRNA from 1 species
UAUUGGACAAUGGGGGAAACCCUGAUCCAGCAAUGCCGCGUGAAUGAAGAAGGCCUUAGGGUUGUAAAGUUCUUUCACCUGUGAAGAUAAUGACGGUAGCAGGAGAAGAAGCCCCGGCUAACUCCGUGCCAGCAGCCGCGGUAAGACGGAGGGGGCUAGCGUUGUUCGGAAUGACUGGGCGUAAAGGGCGCGUAGGCGGUUUUUUAAGUGAGGCGUGAAAGCCCUGGGCUUAACCCAGGAAUUGCGCUUCAGACUGGAAAACUGGAGUACGAGAGAGGAAAGUGGAAUUCCUAGUGUAGAGGUGAAAUUCGUAGAUAUUAGGAAGAACACCAGUGGCGAAGGCGGCUUUCUGGCUCGUAACUGACGCUGAGGCGCGAAAGCGUGGGGAGCAAACAG